AAGAGAAGGACGGCUGCUCCUUCCUCUUCCUGCAAGCAAGGAAGGCAAGGGAGGCGCGUGAAGGCAGCUGCGUCCUCCACUCUCUCUUUUUUUGGCUAGGGAAUAGAGUAUGUUGCUUUGUGUUUGUUUAUUCAGCUCACACAAUUUAUACAUUGCAAGAAGAAGAAGAAGAGGAGCGGUUUGCAAAAAGAGGGAAAUCUAGGGUGGAAUUGCAACAUAGAAUUGUAGAGUUGUUGGAAAGAGGCCCCGGCCCCGAGGACAUCUAGCCCAACCCCCUGCAAUGCAAAAGUUAAAAUGCUAAACCAGGUUAAAAAUUACGCCCUCUGGGGGCGUCCCACCUGUCUCCAGAGACUAUGGAGAAGUGUGCUUUCAGGGGCUGAAGUUGGAAGGUUGCAGCGCCCCCUGUGGCUGUAGAGAAGUCGGGAGAGACAUGCUUUGAUGCAGCUGGGGCAGAUGAAGGUGUUUGGUUGUGGCGAUGCAGGUGUGCCAUUUCAUCUCUCUGCACCCCUCCCAGCAGUCAUUCCUCUGGUCACUGCUGUGGAUACAUAACCUGACGGAUGGUUUCCAUGUGCUGUAGUUGUCUAGCAAGGGAUUCCCAUACGGUGGAGUUAAUGUAGCCAGCCUUCUUGUCUUUUUUGCAGACAUCUUUGUAAUGCAUACGUCUGCCUGGUGUCUAAAGCCAGCUCCCCGUAAAGCACAUCUUUAGGGAUCCUGCACCUUCCAUUCUGUGGGCAUGACCAAUCCAGCAUAGACGCCCUCUGUCCUGCCUUGUGAUGCCCUAAAUUUCCUGAUGCAGCUCAUGUGGAAGGUGUUGAUGCAGCUUGUUUAUACAAGUUAUGUUGAUCGAAGUUGAUGCAGCUCAUGUUGCUCCUGGCAAGUUGGUUAAGAGUGUGUUUUCUAAAACGGAAGAAAAGCAGUUGAAGAAUGAUACAGUUGAGAACUAAAGUUGACGGCAUUUCUGAGGAACCCACAAUAAAGUGGCCCUGAGGAGAAGGAAUCUAGUGAUUCGGUAUGGAAAACAAGGCUGGACUGGAAGCAGCUGGCCAGGAACAACACCAAUUCUCGGGAGAAAAUUUGCUCAGGGAGCAUUGCUGUCCGUGCUUUGUUUUCAACAACUGCUGAGGAAGAACUGGCUGGUGUCUUAUGUGCUGCUGUGUGAAAUUGGGAGAGGAGCUGGCCUGCAAACACCUUAGCUGGGGGAAGAACAGGUUCCCCAAAGGAGCAAGAGGCUUCAAUUUUGAGAAGCUCUUUUGGUCUAAGAUGUUUAACAGAGUGCAAGCCAGAGGAACACUGCUGGAAUAGUGGUGAUAGAGACAAAGACGAGGCUUCAUUUGAUGUGGUAACAACGUGCCCUGAGCUCAGCUGAGGUAACCUGGAAAAGCAAAUAAGACUUGUGAUCUCUGUUGUCAAUCAGAUAAUGCAAACUGUUGUAGAUCAAUUAUUUUUGGCUUUGUUGUCUAAGCUUAUCGCUCAUGAAGUGCUGAAUAUGACAGGGCAGCAAUGAGGCUAUUGCUUCUGUAUAUUUGUGCCCAAUUAAAACAAGCGAGUGUAGAGGAGGCAUAGA